rnacentral:rRNA from 1 species
CUGGCGGCGUGCCUAACACAUGCAAGUCGAACGAGAAAGUGGAGCAAUCCAUGAGUAAAGUGGCGACCGGGUGAGUAACACGUGACUAACCUACCUCCGAGUGGGGAAUAACUCCGGGAAACCGGGGCUAAUACCGCAUAACAUCGCAAGAUCAAAGCAGCAAUGCGCUUGGAGAGGGGGUCGCGGCUGAUUAGCUCGUUGGCGGGGUAACGGCCCACCAAGGCGAAGAUCGGUAUCCGGCCCGAGAGGGCGCACGGACACACUGGAACUGAAACACGGUCCAGACUCCUACGGGAGGCAGCAGUGGGGAAUUUUGCGCAAUGGGGGAAACCCUGACGCAGCAACGCCGCGUGGAGGAUGAAGCCCUUUGGGGCGUAAACUCCUUUCGACUCGGACGAUAAUGACGGUACGAGUGGAAGAAGCACCGGCUAACUCUGUGCCAGCAGCCGCGGUAAUACAGAGGGUGCGAGCGUUGUUCGGAAUUAUUGGGCGUAAAGGACGCGUANGCGGUGCGGUAAGUCACCUGUGAAAUCUCCUGGCUUAACUGGGAGCCUGCAGGCGAAACUACCGUGCUGGAGUGUGGGAAAGGUGCGUGGAA